GUAUUAUACGCACAAAUCCUACGAUAGUCGGUCGGUUACGUAGCCGCGAAAUUCUCCAGGGUCUCCUGGGGUGUUGUAGGAAUUGCAGCAGAGGAAGAAACGAUACCAUGACCAGAAAAUCUAGUUGUUGCGCUAUCUGCGAGAAUUCAAACGUGGCUUCUAUCUGUACUGUUUGUGUGAAUUACAGAUUAAAUGACUACAACACGUUGUUGAAAUCAUUGAAGACUGUUCGGGAUUCCCUGUACAUGAGGUUGAGUGGAGAGCUCAUGGUGAAGAAUAAAGUGGAUGAUCAACACAAGUGGAGAGUUUCUCAAAAAGAGAAACUUGCACAGUUGAGGCAGAGGCUUCAUCUUAAAGAGAAACAACUCUCACAAGGUUGGUUCAUUUGGAAGGCAGAGCUUGAGAAGAUGUCUGAUGAUUUGAAGGUUAGAUAUGGGCUGUUGGAAUCCGCUUCUGCCACGUUGGAAAGAAACCGUGUGGAGAAGCUGGAGAAGUUCUACCCUAACUUUAUUUGCACUCAAAACUUAGGGCUUAUGCACAUUACCUCUGAACGUCUUCACAAACAGUCGGUGGUAAUAAAACAGAUCUGCAAAUUGUUUCCACAGCGCCGGGUGAAUUCAGAUGGAGAAAGAAAAGAUGGUUCCAGUGGUCAAUAUGAUCAAAUAUGCAAUGCACGCUUACCUAGAGGACUUGAUCCACACUCUAUUCCAUCUGAAGAGCUUGCUGCCUCACUGGGAUACAUGGUACAACUUCUGAAUCUUGUUGUCAAGAUCUUGGCUGCUCCAGCACUUCAUAAUUCAGGUUUUGCGGGUUCAUGCUCACGUAUAUGGCAGCGGGAUUCGUAUUGGGAUGCACGUCCAUCUUCUCCAAGUAAUGAAUAUCCCCUUUUCAUACCACGUCAGAAUAGCUGCUCUGCCAGUGUGGAAAAUUCAUGGUCUGAUAGAAGCUCUAGUAAUUUUGGUGUUACGUCAAUGGAGUCAGAAAGGAAACCCCAACUCGACACUGCUAGAAGUAGUAGCUUCAAUUAUUCUUCUGCGUCUCCGCAUUCAGUUGAAACUCACAAGGACCUGCAGAAAGGGAUAUCACUUCUCAAGAAAAGUGUGGCAUGCAUUACUGCAUACUGCUAUAACUCAUUGUACUUGGAUGUUCCAUCUGAGACAUCCACAUUUGAAGCAUUUGCAAAGCUGCUGAACACGCUGUCUUCUUCGAGGGAAAUUCGAUCUGUUUUGUCCUUGAAAAUUCCAUCUUCUAGGUACAUCCGUACAUGUCAUUUUCGAAAUGGACAUGGGGUGCCUGAUGAGGGGACCUCAGAAAACUGACAGGCUGACACAUCCAUCCACACAUAUUGAAUAAUGUUUUUUUUUUUUUUUUUUUAAUAAGUUUUAGUUUAUAACUGCAUAAAUAUAGCAAAAUGUAUCCACACCAUUGAGUAGAAAUGCAUUCGAACCAUAUGAAUAGUAUGCAAAUCCUGCUAAAAUACCAAAUAAGAGAUAAAUUAAGCCUUUUUUUUUUCUAAUAGGUGACUUAUUUUGUCCAAACACAUCUGAUCUGGGUUUCAGUUGUGGCAAGUUUUUAGGAAAUGGAGUGCCUUGCAAGAAUAAUCUUCACUAGGCAGAAAACUGGCAUCUUAUGGAUGCUCACUUAUGAAGGAUUCUCUCUAAAAGAAUUUCCAACUAUUGCUGUGGACCUGUAAAAGUGAAUAGAGCUAAAUGUCCGGAGAAAAAAGGGCAGACCUUUGACCUGAUGAGAUGCACCAUGGAUGGACAUGAACUCUGCCCUUCAAAAGAAAUUCCCAGAAUUGGUAGAUCCUAGGCAUCCAAUCUUUGGCCUUUCCUUAGCCGAAUGUGGACCUUUCCUGUAUUUCUUAACUGCUUGUUUACAGGCCACUAAUGGAAAGGUUAGGAUUGUCAUCCAAGGAUGUUUUGGGCUCAUCAGCUCAAUGGCCUGGAUCACCAGAGCAGGUGUCAACUUGUACAAACUAAGGUAAGUGUAUCCUUGGUCGACAAUCAUAUAAUUCCUCCUGUCAGUAAUGGGAGGCUGCUAUAGGACUGAUCAGCAUAGAUAUCCAUCCCAAUGAUCUCAAAAACCUCCUGUAGAAAGCUUUUGCCCCUUCAGAAAUGCUCACGCGUUUCUUUGUAACAAUUUCACUUUCUCCUUUCAAGAA